GCCGGUUGGCGCAAUGGUAGCGCGUGGCCCUCCUAAGGCCAAGGCUGUGGGUACGAUUCACCUCUGCA